rnacentral:rRNA from 1 species
AGUCGAACGGUGAAGCCCAGCUUGCUGGGUGGAUCAGUGGCGAACCUUUGAGUAACACGUGAGCAACCUGCCCUCCACUUCGGGAUAAUCCUUGGAAACGGGGUCUAAUACCGGAUAUGAGCGCCUGCCGCAUGGUGGGUGUUGGAAAGUUUUUCGGUGGGGGAUGGGCUCGCGGCCUAUCAGCUUGUUGGUGGGGUGAUGGCCUACCAAGGCUUCGACGGGUAGCCGGCCUGAGAGGGCGACCGGCCACACUGGGACUGAGACACGACCCAGACUACUACGGGAGGCAGCAGUGGGGAAUAUUGCACAAUGGGCGCAAGCCUGAUGCAGCGACGCCGCGUGAGGGAUGACGGCCUUCGGGUUGUAAACCUCUUUCAGCAGGGAAGAAGCGCAAGUGACGGUACCUGCAGAAGAAGCGCCGGCUAACUACGUGCCAGCAGCCGCGGUAAUACGGUAGGGCGCAAGCGUUGUCCGGAAUUAUUGGGCGUAAAGAGCUCGUAGGCGGUCUGUCGC